rnacentral:rRNA from 1 species
UACGUAGGGUGCAAGCGUUAAUCGGAAUUACUGGGCGUAAAGCGUGCGCAGGCGGUGAUGUAAGACAGUUGUGAAAUCCCCGGGCUUAACCUGGGAACUGCAUUGGUGACUGGCGGGCUAGAGUAUGGCAGAGGGGGGUAGAAUUCCACGUGUAGCAGUGAAAUGCGUAGAGAUGUGGAGGAAUACCGAUGGCGAAGGCAGCCCCCUGGGCCAAUACUGACGCUCAUGCACGAAAGCGUGGGGAGCAAACAGG